rnacentral:rRNA from 1 species
AACGAACGCUGGCGGCGGGCUUAACACAUGCAAGUCGAACGCCCCGCAAGGGGAGUGGCAGACGGGUGAGUAACGCGUGGGAACGUACCCUUUACUACGGAAUAGCUCCGGGAAACUGGAAUUAAUACCGUAUGUGCCCUUCGGGGGAAAGAUUUAUCGGUAAAGGAUCGGCCCGCGUUGGAUUAGCUAGUUGGUGGGGUAAAGGCCUACCAAGGCGACGAUCCAUAGCUGGUCUGAGAGGAUGAUCAGCCACAUUGGGACUGAGACACGGCCCAAACUCCUACGGGAGGCAGCAGUGGGGGAUAUUGGACAAUGGGCGCAAGCCUGAUCCAGCCAUGCCGCGUGAGUGAUGAAGGUCUUAGGAUUGUAAAGCUCUUUCACCGGGGAAGAUAAUGACGGUACCCGGAGAAGAAGCCCCGGCUAACUUCGUGCCAGCCGCCGCCGUAA